AAGUAGCGCAGAGUUGUUCCUACGAACUGCACUUUUCUUCCUACACAGCUCAUGCGAAUCAAAACGGUAGUAGUAACGAGCAGCUUUGCUUUCUUUACUCCUGUGCUACUCUACUCUACUGAUGUGCUGCGCAUGCGCAUUAAUUUUCACCAGCCCGGUUACGACUCAGUGGAAACGAGUAGAAAUGAGUCUUAGAAAGCUGAUAAAAGAUACCCAGAAGACAAAUCCUUCUUACUUUUUGAAAUACUUUAAGCAAGACGAUACUUAUUCUAUUGUGAAAGCAAACUGUGUAGAAGUUGAGCAGCUGGAAGCUGGUACCUCCUGCAGAGUAAGGGAUGGAAAGGACUUUCAUGAUGGCACAAUAGUCACCUUUGGAGAUAAGAAAGAUGUAAGUAAUGCAGCAGGUGAUAUUAUUGAGAAGAUUGAGAAAGAGUCAGCGGAGAAUUUGGAGAAAGAGUCAGCCAAGAAUAUGGAGAAACAGUCAGCUGAGAGUAUGAAGAAUGAGUCAGACUACAAAGCGUGGCACAAUAAAAAGGAAAGCUAAGAAAAGUACCACCGAAUAAAGAAACCUAAAAUAGAAAAAGGAAAGGAAGGUGAAGAAAUGCACAGUUAAUAUUGUUGCUGUUGGUUGUGCUACAAAUAAUGAAUCUGC
rnacentral:misc_RNA from 1 species